rnacentral:rRNA from 1 species
CCUACGGGUGACAGCAGUGAGGAAUAUUGGUCAAUGGGCGGAAGCCUGAACCAGCCAAGUAGCGUGCAGGAUGACGGCCCUACGGGUUGUAAACUGCUUUUAUACGGGAAUAACGCGCCUUACGUGUAGGGCUUUGCAUGUACCGGAUGAAUAAGGAACGGCUAAUUCCGUGCCAUCAGCCGCGGUAAUACGGAAGGUCCGGGCUUUAUCCGGAUUUAUUGGGUUGAAAGGGAGCGUAGGCCGCAUGUCAAGCGUGCUGUGAAAUGUCCGGGCUCAACCCGGGCCUUGCAGCGCGAACUGGCGUGCUUGUGUCCGCGGAAAGCAGGCGGAAUUCGUCGUGUAGCGGUGAAAUGCUUAGAUAUGACGAAGAACCCAGAUUGCGAAGGCAGCUUGCUGCAGCGGAACUGACGCUGAUGCUCGAAAGCGCGGGUAUCGAACAGGAUUAGAUACCCGGGUAGUC